UAGAUGUAAAGCAAAGGAUAACCAGGCUGCAAUCCACAGUCCUAGAGAAACUAGUGCCUGCCAGGUACCAUGGAGAGACUGUUGCAGGCCCGUGAUGUGUAACCGACUCCCAUUUGCCCCUCUGCGUGGCCGGCCUUCGGGGUCAACUUCCAGCUCUAGAUGGGGACUUUUUCAACCUUCCUGGAUUCUCUGUGACCAUGGGGAAAGCCAUGCGAGCUGGAACCCAGGCACAUGGUUGGCACAGACAGAACCUCCACUGUAGUGUUUGAGAAAACACUCAUUUUGUCAAACCAACGAAGUUUGUCACCAGAAGCAAAAAAGGGCAGUGACAGAGGGCAGCUGUGGUGGCUUCCGAAUACACAAUGCCAUGCGAGAACUAUACGAGGUCGGUCAUGAGUGGAGGACCACAAGUCUCGGGAGAAGCUGCUUAAGAAAGGUGGACUUGUCCUGAGUUAUUUGAAGAGGGAUCAGCUGUGGCCAACUACUGGGUGCCAUCUCAGCAAACUGGUACCUCGGGGCCCAUAAAGUUCAGGGAAUCCUUUC